rnacentral:rRNA from 1 species
AUGUUUCUUCGGGCCGAGCUAGAGGCAAUGCACGCCUUCCUCUUGAAGAUGUCCCAGGUGGAGGAGCCCGACGAGCAAGCCAAGUGCUGGAUGAAGGAGGUGCGCGAGCUGUCCUAUGACAUUCACAACAGCAUCGACGACUUCAUGCUUCGUGUGGAUGAUAAAUCUGCCAAGCCCAAAGGUGUCAAGGGCUUUAUAAACAGGUCCAUGAACCUGCUGACAGAGACCAAGACACGCCAUCGAAUAGGCAAAGAGAUCAGGAGCCUCGAGACCCAAGUCAAGGAGGUGGCUGAGCGGCGUGCAAGGUACAAAAUCAAUGACAACAUCUCCAAGGCAACCAAUGUAACCGUAGACCCUCGAGUCUGCUCUUUAAACAGGGAUUUAUCUGAGCUUGUGGGCUUUGAUGAACCAGCCACGGAGCUACUCAAGCUAUUGAAUGUGGGGGAGGAGCUCAAGCAGCCAUUGAAGGUGGUCUCUAUCGUGGGAGUCGGAGGGUUGGGCAAGACGACCCUCGCUCGUCAUGUUUAUGAUAAAUAUGGAAGUCGUUUCAGGUAUCGGGCUUUUGUGUCAGUCUCCCGAAAUCCUAAUAUGGUGACGCUUCUCAGGGCCAUUCUCAUCCAAGUGGGUUAUAACAAAACCUUGCCAGAGGAAGCACAAUUAAUAUCUGGUUGA